CUCUGAGCUCUGUCUCCUCAGAUCCCAGGCAUUCUCCCUCGGGAUUCACUGUGCAUCACCAGGCUUUGAGCCUCCCCAGUUGUGACAACCAUUCAUGCACUCGUUCCUGUGCCCGAUGCUCUGCUAGCACUGAAUACGCAGCAGCACAGCCGGAAGACUGCCCUCGGAGCUUACGUUCUAAACAAGGAUGUAGACAACUCGCGUGUGCCCGGCACGUCAGGCGGUGGAGCUGUGCCCCAGACACGUAUUUUCCUGGGUUAAACCAUGGACCUUGGAGGCAAGCUGAGAAAUACCAUCUCAAUGAAAAUGUUGAUUUAUGAAACUCCACUCAGUACAAGGUAACAAGAGCCAUAAAGCCCUUCAACUUUCACUUAAUAAUUCCAUGCCUGGGAAUUCAUCCUGAGGAGACAAUUUAAUAAAACAGUGUUUUCCCAGGG